UAUAUAUAUAUAUAUCUGCAAACUGCCAAACUUUACUGAUUUAUUUUGUUACUGAACGGCAAUUUAACAGUACACAAGAGGGAGAUGUGAUGCAGGAUUUAGUGGCUUGCCUUCAUACUUAAAGAAACCACGUGGUGUGCAUCUUUUCAAACCUUUACUUUAGUUUUUAACACAGCAAGGAAAAGAAAAAAAUGCGUCCCAAAGUGAGUUUAUCUUUUCUAAGGGAAUUCACGCUAAGGGCAAUGGAAAAGGGUUUUAAAUAAAGGUCCACUGAAGGCGCGAGCGAGAGAAUACAGGAGCAGGCAGCAGAGAGAGCUCCUAACCUUACGUAACCUAACCAGACCUAACCCAACCUACACCUUCCCUUCUGACCCAGUGUAGGUCAAGGGUAGAAAAAUGAUGCAGGAACAGACACGUUCCUAACCUAUCCAAAAUUAAAUUAACCUAAUAAUGGAGGAGAAGGUGAAAAGAAACACAGGUACAGGGAGGUGAGUUUAUUGCCGACUAGUUUCGCUGUAUGUUUCUUCAGGGGAGAGAGAGAGAGAGAGAGAGAGAGAGAGAGAGAGAGAGAGAGAGAGAGAGAGAGAGAGCUGAGUUAAUCUUUCCAUAUACGCUUUAACAAUGCACAAGUUCACAGGGGACAGUAGGUACUCUUGUGGACAAAACGUUGACUUAAAUUCUGUUCCUUUUCGUCAAAUCCAUUUCUGAGAAGGAAAAAAGAAAAUACAGUGAGAUUUAUUUUCUCCUCCUUGGCGAGACGAGACGAGACGAGACGAGACGAGAUAAGGCGAGACGAGACGAGGCGAGAAGACAAAAAGAGAGAAGAAAAAUAGGAAAGUGAGACGAAACUAGACGAGGCGAGAAGAGACGAGACGAGACGAGAAAACAAAAGACAAACAAGAAAAAGGAAAGUGAGGUAAGACGGAACGAGACUAGACGAGACAGGGCGAGCAAACAAAAGAGAGAAAGAAGAAAAAAUAAAGUGAAACGAGACGAGAAGACAAAAAAGAGAUGAAAAUAAGAAAGUGAAACAAAGCGAAACGAAACGAGACGAGGCGAAGCUAGUCUGUGUCAAUCAAUUCUCACCUGAACACACUGACAUACUGAGAGAGAGAGAGAGAGAGAGAGAGAGAGAGAGAGAGAGAGAGAGAGAGAGAGAACUGACAUCUUACCUCUCUCUCGUGUUUAAUCAAUAUUUUGGUGCGUAACUUGAAUUGUCAACUUUAUUUUUUAUUUAUUUGUUUUAUUUUUGUUUGUUUUUGUUUCUGUUAAGGUUAAAGUGUAACAUGACGCGUGAAAAUAAGAGCGGUGUGUGUGUGUGUGUGUGUGUGUGUGUGUGUGUGUGUGUGUGUGUGUGUGUGUGUGUGUGUGUGUGUGUGUGUGUGUGUAUUGUACAGUGUUAUGAGUGAGGUGCGAGGUGGUGUAUAGGUAACUAACAGUGGUGUACCAUAGGUUAGGCUGUUGUGUAACGAGUACCUGUAUAUAUACAGUAUAUAUCUUACUAUAGUGGAAGUUGUCAUGUACAUUACUGUUAUACCAUUAAGGACAUAACUACUGUAUUGGGAACAACGAGGGAGGCUGAGAGAGAGAGAGAGAGAGAGAGAGAGAGAGAGAGAGAGAGAGAGAGAGAGAGAGUGUUACCUAUAUCAUAUUCGCACAGCCUCCCUCCUGAUUCCUUGAUAACGGUGCGACAAUACUCAUGAAAUAUAUAACAAUAAAAAUGUAAUCUUG
rnacentral:lncRNA from 1 species